rnacentral:lncRNA from 1 species
AACUGUUUACUGUGUGCAAACAUGAGUCUGCGAUUAUGAGAUAUCUCAAAGGUACAAGUGAUUAUGAUGUGUUAUAUAUCCUAAGGAAAAUGACGAAGGAAAUAAACUAAUAGACUAUUGUGACUAAGACAGGUCUAGAGAUCGAGUUGAAAGAAGGAGCAUAAUGGGAUACAUGUCUUGAAUUUUCAAUUCAAAGAAAUGAACAAUUGAAGCAUUGUCAAAAAAAUAAAAUUACAAGUCAGAUUACAUGUAAAAUUGAUAAAAAAAUAAAAUUAAAAAUUAAACAAUGUAAAAUUGAUAAUUAAUAAAUGUAUAUAAAAACUAUUUCAUUUGUCAAUUUUUGUGCAAAUGAAGUCUUUUUUCUUCAGCUGAUCUCACCCUCCCUCCAUCUUCAACAUAUCUAACAAGAAAUCACUCCAUGUGUCAAUAGGUCCAGGCAAGCACCAAUGCACACAAUCAUUAUACAAUGUCACAUUCNAUAACCAUGGUACAUGGUUAAAUCAGGGACAUUUUCUAAGAGACAAUAAUGACAUCCAACAAUUUUUUGUUUCUCAUAGAAUACCAUUGAUCUUGUAAACCAAUGUCCUCCAUUGAGAAUAACAUAGUUAAAAUCUUCAAUUUGAGUUAUCCAAUUUUCAUCUGGCUCAUCAAUGUAAAGAUCGAAGAGUCCAGUUGAACCUGGACCUUUUAAAUCUGAUUCUUUUGAUCUUACCAAAUGGGGUGUCCAAAAAGAGGCCAUUGUGAAAUUGUAGGUUGGGUAGUGCCACCUCAUGAAAUAAUCAUUUUGUGAGUGUGAUACAACUACGGGCCAUUCCACCUGAAAGUAAUAAAGAUUAAUCAAAAAGAUGAAAUUUUGUGGUAAUACUAAUCAUAAUAUAUUUGUAGAAAAAAUAAAUAAAUAACCAACCAUAUAAAUAUAAUCUACCAAAAAUAUAAACAAUGACAUCUAAAGAUAAAAUGUGUAGAUUCUCUUAAAAAUAAGAGUAAAUAUGCAGAUAAUGAAAAGAAGAAAAGGUUAAGGAAAUGCUUUAGUUGUUUGAAAUGCUAUUACUUGUCUUUUUCAUUGUACAAUAAUAAGAUAAGAUAUUAAAAAAUAAAUUAAAGGAAGAUAAUAUAAAGUUAUCAAUCAUGUAAUUUAUUUAAUUUAGCUGAAUUUAUUUGUUAAUUUUUAUUCAUUUAAUAACAAACGACUAAAUCUUGAUGAAUUUAUGUAUAAAGUUAGCUAUAUAAAUUAUGUUGGCUUUGUAGAAAAAGAUAUUAAAAAUUUAAAUUUGAAGUACUAUUUGAAAAAUUCAUUAGAAAGUAAUUUUUGAUAAAUAGAAAUCUAAUAUAUUCUCACGCAGCCUGCCACCCUUAAUUAAAAAAUUAUAGUUUUUUUUUUCUUUUUCUGAAUAAUAUUAAAAUACUCAAAGUUUCAAAUUAAUAUAUUAUUUUUCAAUAAGUAAAGUAAUUUAUCAAAUGAAUAAAACAUCACAUGGAACAUCAACUUGCUAGACAAUCAAACAAGAAAGUGAGUACAAGCACAAGUUUUCACCACUCCAAAACAAAUACACCACUUUCAAAUUAGGAUUGCUCUCUUUAUUCCCAAUCUAGGUACUGUAGCACCUUGAAACUCAAACUUGAGCCAAGCUUUUCAAAUUAUUUUAUGAUUAAUUAACUGAAUAACAUAACCUUUUAAACAAUUCCUUUUAGCCUACUUUAUUAUUUUAAGCCAUGCUUUUCUGUUCCCAAGUGAAAAAGAAAAAAAAACCCUGCAUGCAUGUUACAAACUUGGAAAAUCCAGCACAUAGUAUUGUUUACAUGUGAAUUUUUCCGCAUAAGACACACAAUAUGAUGACUAAUCUCAUUAAUAAUGCUGCCAAUAAUACAUAUCUAAAUAUCUAAAUAAAAUAAUUGAGUGGUCCCCUCACGUAACAUCUAGGAUUCCUUUCAAACUAAUUAACACUAAUUAUGUGGACUUUUGUUUUCAUUUCCUUCCAUGCAAAAUAAUAUUGCAUUAAGUACAUGUACAAAGAAGAGAUUAAAUUUCUUAUAUUGUUGGUGUAGACAAAUUUAUACAUGGAUAAAUCAUAAUCAUUUGCAUGUGUGACUUUAAAAAUAGUUAUACUUAAAGUCAAAUAUUUUUAAUGAUUUUAUAGUUAUGAAUAGUUAAUAGUAGUAUAGAAAUUUUUUAUAUUGGCUAUGUAUAUAAAUUAAUUUAUGCAAACAAUGGUUAAUUAGCAUCCAGCUAGACAUGCACAAAGCAUAUUGCUUAUUGCUUAUUUUUCUACUCUAAGGAAUGUGACCUCUCAACCAUUUCUAUUAGUUUAGUUUAG